rnacentral:rRNA from 1 species
UACGAAGGGGGCUAUCGUUGCUCGGAAUUACUGGGCGUAAAGCGCACGUAGGCGGCUCUUUAAGUCGGGGGUGAAAUCCUGGAGCUCAACUCCAGAACUGCCUUCGAUACUGUAGAGCUUGAGUUCGGGAGAGGUGAGUGGAACUGCGAGUGUAGAGGUGAAAUUCGUAGAUAUUCGCAAGAACACCAGUGGCGAAGGCGGCUCACUGGCCCGAUACUGACGCUGAGGCACGAAAGCGUGGGGAGCAAACAGG